rnacentral:lncRNA from 1 species
CGUCGUCGUCGUCGUCGGAAUACUUUUAGUUUUCGCACUCUAACUUUAGUAAAAGUGAAUAGAAAUCAAUGAAAUUUUAACACAAGAUUUAUGACCACAAAAGGAAGGUUGGGAUUGAUUUUGGGAGUUUUUGUCUCAAUAUUUUAGGAAUUAGGGGCCAAAAAGGGCCCAAAUAAGCAUUUUCUUGGUUGUCGCACUAUAACUUUAGUUUAAGUGAAUAGAAAUCUAUGAAAUUUUGACACAAGGUUUAUGACCACAAAAGACGGUUGGGAUUGAUUUUGGGAGUUUUGGUUCCAACAGUUUAGGAAUUAAGGGCCAAAAAAGGGCCCAAAUAAGCAUUAUUCUUGGUUUUCGCACAAUAACUUUAGUAUAAGUAAAUAGAAAUCAAUGAAAUUUAAACACAAGGUUUAUGACCAUAA